GACGAACGCUGGCGGCGUGCCUAAUACAUGCAAGUAGAACGCACAGUUUAUACCGUAGCUUGCUACACCAUAAACUGUGAGUUGCGAAUGGGUGAGUAACGCGUAGGUAACCUGCCUGGUAGCGGGGGAUAACUAUUGGAAACGAUAGCUAAUACCGCAUAAUAUUAAUUAUUGCAUGAUAAUUGAUUGAAAGAUACAAUUGCAUCACUACCAGAUGGACCUGCGUUGUAUUAGCUAGUAGGUGAGGUAACGGCUCACCUAGGCGACGAUACAUAGCCGACCUGAGAGGGUGAUCGGCCACACUGGGACUGAGACACGGCCCAGACUCCUACGGGAGGCAGCAGUAGGGAAUCUUCGGCAAUGGACGAAAGUCUGACCGAGCAACGCCGCGUGAGUGAAGAAGGUUUUCGGAUCGUAAAGCUCUGUUGUAAGAGAAGAACGGGUGUGAGAGUGGAAAGUUCACACUGUGACGGUAUCUUACCAGAAAGGGACGGCUAACUACGUG
rnacentral:rRNA from 1 species